GACGAACGCUGGCGGCGUGCUUAACACAUGCAAGUCGAACGGAAAGGCCCUGCUUUUGUGGGGUGCUCGAGUGGCGAACGGGUGCGUAACACGUGAGUAACCUGCCCUUGACUUUGGGAUAACUUCAGGAAACUGGGGCUAAUACCGGAUAGGAGCUCCUGCUGCAUUGUGGGGGUUGGAAAGUUUCGGCGGUUGGGGAUGGACUCGCGGCUUAUCAGCUUGCUGGUGGGGUAGUGGCUUACCCAGGCUUUGACGGAUAGGCGGCCUGAGAGGGUGACCGGCGACAUGGGGACUGCGAUACGGCCCAGACUGCUACGGGAGGCAGCAGGGGGGAAUAUUGCACAAUGGGCGGAAGCGUGAUGCAGCAACGCCGCGUGCGGGAUGACGGCCUGCGGGUUGUAAACCGCUUUCGCCUGUGACGAAGCGGGAGUGACGGUAAUGGGUAAAGAAGCACCGGCUAACUACGUG
rnacentral:rRNA from 1 species